rnacentral:rRNA from 1 species
UACGAAGGUGGCAAGCGUUGUUCGGAUUUACUGGGCGUACAGGGAGCGUAGGCGGUUGGAUAAGCCCUCCGUGAAAUCUCCAGGCUUAACCUGGAAAGUGCAGAGGGGACUGUUCAGCUAGAGGAUGGGAGAGGAGCGCGGAAUUCCCGGUGUAGCGGUGAAAUGCGUAGAGAUCGGGAGGAACACCAGAGGCGAAGGCGGCGACCUGGACAAUUACUGACACUCAACUACGAAAGCGUGGGGAGCAAACAGG